CCCUACGGGGGGCAGCAGUGAGGAAUAUUGGUCAAUGGGCGGGAGCCUGAACCAGCCAAGCCGCGUGAGGGAAGAAGGUACAGCGUAUCGUAAACCUCUUUUGUCAGGGAACAAAGGCGGGGACUAGUCCCCGGAUGAGGGUACCUGAAGAAAAAGCAUCGGCUAACUCCGUGCCAGCAGCCGCGGUAAUACGGAGGAUGCGAGCGUUAUCCGGAUUUAUUGGGUUUAAAGGGUGCGCAGGCGGCCUGUUAAGUCAGCGGUGAAAGCCCGGGGCUCAACCCAGGCGAGCCGUUGAAACGGGCGGG
rnacentral:rRNA from 1 species